rnacentral:rRNA from 1 species
GAGCGAACAGAGAAGGAGCUUGCUCCUUUGACGUUAGCGGCGGACGGGUGAGUAACACGUGGGCAACCUACCUUAUAGUUUGGGAUAACUCCGGGAAACCGGGGCUAAUACCGAAUAAUCUAUUUUACUUCAUGGUGAAAUACUGAAAGACGGUUUCGGCUGUCGCUAUAAGAUGGGCCCGCGGCGCAUUAGCUAGUUGGUGAGGUAACGGCUCACCAAGGCGACGAUGCGUAGCCGACCUGAGAGGGUGAUCGGCCACACUGGGACUGAGACACGGCCCAGACUCCUACGGGAGGCAGCAGUAGGGAAUCUUCCACAAUGGGCGAAAGCCUGAUGGAGCAACGCCGCGUGAGUGAAGAAGGUUUUCGGAUCGUAAAACUCUGUUGUAAGGGAAGAACAAGUACAGUAGUAACUGGCUGUACCUUGACGGUACCUUAUUAGAAAGCCACGGCUAACUACGUGCCAGCAGCCGCGGUAAUACGUAGGUGGCAAGCGUUGUCCGGAAUUAUUGGGCGUAAAGCGCGCGCAGGCGGUCCUUUAAGUCUGAUGUGAAAGCCCACGGCUCAACCGUGGAGGGUCAUUGG